rnacentral:rRNA from 1 species
CACCCAGACUCCUACGGGAGGCAGCAGUGAGGAAUAUUGGUCAAUGGGCUUACGCCUGAACCAGCCAAGUCGCGUGAGGGAAGACUGCCCUAUGGGUUGUAAACCUCUUUUGUCAGGGAGCAACGCCGGCUACGUGUAGCCGGACUGAGAGUACCUGAAGAAAAAGCAUCGGCUAACUCCGUGCCAGCAGCCGCGGUAAUACGGAGGAUGCGAGCGUUAUCCGGAUUUAUUGGGUUUAAAGGGUGCGUAGGCGGAAUGCCAAGUCAGGGGAAAAAUGGGGGGGCCCACCCGCGUCGAGCCGUUGAAACUGGGUGCCUUGGGUGGGCGAGAAGUACGCGGAAUGCGUGGUGUAGCGGUGAAAUGCAUAGAUAUCACGCAGAACUCCGAUUGCGAAGGCAGCGUACCGGCGCCCAACUGACGCUGGGGCACGAAGGCGUGGGUAUCGAACAGGAUUAGAUACCCGAGUA